GCAGACUUCGGUCUGCUACCUCUUACCCAUGUCUUUUGAGUACCUUCGUUUCCUCGGCGGGUCCGCCCGCCGGUUGGACAACAUUCAAACCCUUUGCAGUUGCAAUCAGCGUCUGAAAAAACAUAAUAGUUACAACUUUCAACAACGGAUCUCUUGGUUCUGGCAUCGAUGAAGAACGCAGCGAAAUGCGAUAAGUAGUGUGAAUUGCAGAAUUCAGUGAAUCAUCGAAUCUUUGAACGCACAUUGCGCCCCUUGGUAUUCCAUGGGGCAUGCCUGUUCGAGCGUCAUUUGUACCUUCAAGCUCUGCUUGGUGUUGGGUGUUUUGUCUCGCCUCUGCGUGUAGACUCGCCUUAAAACAAUUGGCAGCCGGCGUAUUGAUUUCGGAGCGCAGUACAUCUCGCGCUUUGCACUCAUAACGACGACGUCCAAAAGUACAUUUUUACACUCUUGACCUCGGAUCAGGUAGGGAUACCCGCUGAACUUAAGCAUAUCAAUAGACGGGAGGAAAAAUCAUUACCUAGAGUUUGCAGACUUCGGUCUGCUACCUCUUACCCAUGUCUUUUGAGUACCUUCGUUUCCUCGGCGGGGUCGCCCGCCGGUUGGACAACAUUCAAACCCUUUGCAGUUGCAAUCAGCGGUCUGAAAAAACAUAAUAAAUUACAACUUUCAACAACGGGAUCUCUUGGGUUCUGGGCAUCGAUGAAAGAAACGCAGCGAAAAUGCGAAUAAGGUAGAUGUUGAAUUUGCAGGAAAUUCAAUGGAAAUCAUCCAAAUCUUUUGGAACGCCAUUUGCGCCCUUGGGGUAUUUCCAUGGGGGGCAAUGCCUGG
rnacentral:rRNA from 1 species